UGGCGUUGAGGGAAGCUUUGAGUUCUCCAUGGGGCUUCGAACCCUAUCCCGGGCGUGUGCCCCUCCGGGACCCCAAUCUCGUUUAUCUUACACACAGCUGCUACAGUUGCCCGCCCUCCUAGGGUAGAAUGCGACUCCGGCUUCCCGCGCUUUUUGAGAGGGAACACACCUCCAUGAAGAACUCGCAACUAUGUCUCUCUCGAAACAUUAUUAAGUAACCUAUACGUCCAGUAUGACCCUAAUUUUUAAGGGAUGUGUAUAUGUAAUUAACACAGAGCGGAAGGACUGGACGUUAAGAAAUGUUAAGAAUUCUCAGGCACCUGUGGUCCCAGCUACCCAGGAGAUUGAGGCGGGAGGAUCGCUUGAGCCCAGGAGUUUGAGGCUGCAGUGAACCGUGAUCGCGCCA
rnacentral:lncRNA from 10 species